ACAAUUCUUCUACCUGUCUCUGAUUUUCAACACCAUUCUUCAGCUCCAGGUCCACAUUUUCAACUCCUGUCAGGGAGCCACAGAACUGAUAAUCUGCCUAAAUCUUA